UACGAAGGGGGCUAGCGUUGCUCGGAAUCACUGGGCGUAAAGCGCACGUAGGCGGCUUACUAAGUCAGGGGUGAAAUCCUGGAGCUCAACUCCAGAACUGCCUUUGAUACUGGUGAGCUUGAGUCCGGAAGAGGUGAGUGGAACUGCGAGUGUAGAGGUGAAAUUCGUAGAUAUUCGCAAGAACACCAGUGGCGAAGGCGGACUCACUGGUCCGGUACUGACGCUGAGGUGCGAAAGCGUGGGGAGCAAACAGG
rnacentral:rRNA from 1 species